rnacentral:SRP_RNA from 1 species
GCCAGGCAUGGUGGCGUGCACCUGUAAUCCCAGCUACUUAGGAGGCUGAGGCAGGAGAAUUGCUUGAGCCCAGGAGGCAGAGGUUGCAGUGAGCCAAGAUCUUGCCACUGCACUCCAGCCUGGGCAACAGAGCAAGACUCCGUCUCAA